rnacentral:snRNA from 1 species
GGAUGUGAGAGCAAUCUGGCUGCGACAUCUGUCACCCCACUGAUCACCAGGGUUGAUUCAGCUGAUCUGGCUGACUAGGCAAAUGUCCCCUUCCUCCCUCGCUGCUCCAUGUGCAUCCCUUCCAAAGCUGUGCACUCAGUGGAAGAAGACGACCAUCCCAGAUAGGAGUGUAUUGAUCUUUGGUCAAGGGUGUAUGAUAGCUGCACUCCCCUACUAGAACCUCCAAACAAGCUCAAAGUCCAUUCAAUAAUUGUUCAAAAUUAUGAUGUUGCUGAAAAAUGGACCCAUGACCUGUGCCCAAAAAAAAAGAAUGGAGUCUACUCACUUUAGAAACCCCAUUCCU